UCGAGCGACAGAUGAGAAGCUUGCUUCUCUGAUGUUAGCGGCGUUCGGGUGAGUAACACGUGGGUAACCUACCUAUAAGACUGGGAUAACUCCGGGAAACCGGGGCUAAUACCGGAUAAUAUUUUGAACCGCAUGGUUCAAUAGUGAAAGACGGUUUCGGCUGUCACUUAUAGAUGGACCCGCGCCGUAUUAUCUAGUUGGUAAGGUAACGGCUUACCAAGGCGACGAUACUUAGCCGACCUGAGAGGGUGAUCGGCCACACUGGAACUGAUACACGGUCCAGACUCCUACGGGAGGCAGCAGUAGGGAAUCUUCCGCAAUGGGCGAAAGCCUGACGGAGCAACGCCGCGUGAGUGAUGAAGGUCUUCGGAUCGUAAAACUCUGUUGUUAGGGAAGAACAAAUUUGUUAGUAACUGAACAAGUCUUGACGGUACCUAACCAGAAAGCCACGGCUAACUACGUGCCAGCAGCCGCGGUAAUACGUAGGUGGCAAGCGUUAUCCGGAAUUAUUGGGCGUAAAGCGCGCGUAGGCGGUUUCUUAAGUCUGAUGUGAAAGCCCACGG
rnacentral:rRNA from 1 species